GAUUAACGCUGGCGGCGUGCAUAACACAUUCAAGUCGAACGAAGCAGCAAUGCUUAGUGGCGGACGGGUGAGUAACGCGUGAGCAAUCUACCUCCCAGUACGGAAUAACAACCGGAAACAGUUGCUAAUACCGUAUGAAAUAGCAGUACCGCAUGGUACAACUAUCAAAGAUAUAUUGCUGGGAGAUGAGCUUGCGUCCGAUUAGCUAGAUGGCGGGGUAACGGCCCACCAUGGCGACGAUCGGUAGCCGGACUGAGGGGUUGAACGGCCACAUUGGAACUGAGAUACGGUCCAGACUCCUACGGGAGGCAGCAGUGGGGAAUAUUGGGCAAUGGGCGAAAGCCUGACCCAGCGACGCCGCGUGAGGGAAGAAGAUCUUCGGAUUGUAAACCUUAGUCAACAGGGAAGAAGCAAGUGACGGUACCUGUGGAGGAAGCCACGGCUAACUACGUGCCAGCCGCCGCCGUAACAC
rnacentral:rRNA from 1 species